AACGAACGCUGGCGGCAUGCCUAACACAUGCAAGUCGAACGAGACCUUCGGGUCUAGUGGCGCACGGGUGCGUAACGCGUGGGAAUCUGCCCUUGGGUUCGGAAUAACAGUUGGAAACGACUGCUAAUACCGGAUGAUGACGUAAGUCCAAAGAUUUAUCGCCCAAGGAUGAGCCCGCGUAGGAUUAGCUAGUUGGUGAGGUAAAGGCUCACCAAGGCGACGAUCCUUAGCUGGUCUGAGAGGAUGAUCAGCCACACUGGGACUGAGACACGGCCCAGACUCCUACGGGAGGCAGCAGUGGGGAAUAUUGGACAAUGGGCGAAAGCCUGAUCCAGCAAUGCCGCGUGAGUGAUGAAGGCCUUAGGGUCGUAAAGCUCUUUUACCCGGGAUGAUAAUGACAGUACCGGGAGAAUAAGCUCCGGCUAACUCCGUG
rnacentral:rRNA from 1 species